UACGUAGGGUGCAAGCGUUAAUCGGAAUUACUGGGCGUAAAGCGUGCGCAGGCGGUUUUGUAAGUCUGUUGUGAAAUCCCCGGGCUUAACCUGGGAAUGGCAAUGGAGACUGCAAGGCUAGAGUUUGGCAGAGGGGGGUAGAAUUCCAGGUGUAGCGGUGAAAUGCGUAGAUAUCAAGUGGAACACCAGUGGCGAAGGCGAGUCCCUGGACAACUCCUGACACUGAGGCACGAAAGCUAGGGGAGCAAACAGG
rnacentral:rRNA from 1 species